AUUGAACGCUGGCGGCAGGCCUAACACAUGCAAGUCGAGCGGAUGAAGGGAGCUUGCUCCUGGCUUACGUGACGGACGGGUGAGUGAUGCCUAGGAAUCUGACUGGUCGAGGGGGAUAACGUCAGUUCACGGGCGCUGAUAUAGCAUCCGAUCUGAGGGUGAACGUGGGGGAUCUUUGGAGCUAGCGCUAUCAGAUGAGCCUAGGUCGGAUUAGCUAGUUGGUGGGGUAAAGGCCUACCAAGGCGACGAUCCGUAACUGGUCUGAGAGGAUGAUCAGUCACACUGGAACUGAGACACGGUCCAGACUCCUACGGGAGGCAGCAGUAGGGAAUAUUGGACAAUGGGCGAAAGCCUGAUCCAGCCAUGCCGCGUGUGUGAAGAAGGUCUUCGGAUUGUAAAGCACUUUUAGUUGGGAGGAAGGACAGUAAGUGAAUACAUUGCUGUUUUGACGGUACCAACAGAAUAAGCACCGGCUAACUUCGUG
rnacentral:rRNA from 1 species